UAGGUCGGAUUAGCUAGUUGGUGGGGUAAUGGCUCACCAAGGCGACGAUCCGUAACUGGUCUGAGAGGAUGAUCAGUCACACUGGAACUGAGACACGGUCCAGACUCCUACGGGAGGCAGCAGUGGGGAAUAUUGGACAAUGGGCGAAAGCCUGAUCCAGCCAUGCCGCGUGUGUGAAGAAGGUCUUAGGAUUGUAAAGCACUUUAAGUUGGGAGGAAGGGCAGUAAGCUAAUACCUUGCUGUUUUGACGUUACCGACAGAAUAAGCACCGGCUAACUCUGUGCCAGCAGCCGCGGUAAUACAGAGGGUGCAAGCGUUAAUCGGAAUUACUGGGCGUAAAGCGCGCGUAGGUGGUUUGUUAAGUUGGAUGUGAAAGCCCCGGGCUCAACCUGGGAACUGCAUCCAAAACUGGCAAGCUAGAGUACGGUAGAGGGUGGUGGAAUUUCCUGUGUAGCGGUGAAAUGCGUAGAUAUAGGAAGGAACACCAGUGGCGAAGGCGACCACCUGGACUGAUACUGAC
rnacentral:rRNA from 1 species